UGGUAGGGUCUUGGAAAAACUGCACCAAGCCAAGCGUACAGCGACGACCACUGCCACUGGAAGGUGCCGCGAAUUGAACAUGCACCCAGAGCUUGAAGCAGUCAAGCAGAGCAUCGUCGUCAGUUUGUCCCAUCCCAUGGGCCAUGGCUGAGGGUCCUAUAAACAGCACGAUGCGAGCACGGCCGGAUGAUCACUGGAGUCUGGCAAAGGACCAGCUCGCCCAGCCGAUCGGCUAGUGCGCGUGUCGUGUUGGUGUCUGCGUGAUCGAUGGCCGCCGUGGUGUUGCCGCGCCGCCCCCGCCUCCUGGCGCUGGUGCAGCUCGCCGUGGCGCUCUGGCUGGUGGCCGCCACCGGCUGCCACUGCCAGACCGUGCCGUCCUACCCCUCCCAGCCGGUGCCGUCCUACCCCUCCCCAGAUGAGCCCCCCCUUUUUUUUAUUAAAGGUGAUGAGCAUUUAGCAGGAAGGGGAAAGAAUAGAAUGAAGCAGCUGACCGAUGGACUGAAGGCUCCAUUUUCCUGGUGGCGUGAGAUUUGGAGAGAUGGAAAAUUAAUGGGCCCAACUCCUGGAGGGGAGAUGAACGGAUGGCCUCCGCAUGUUUAGGGACACGGACGGAGACAUGCAAAGGAGACACAGAAGCUGCAACCAUAAACAUGUCAGCAAAUGAGUGUAUCAAGAAUAAAUAUGCACUCUCAGUUGAGCUAACAUCUCUUCAUGCAAUGUAGAUCCUCACCAAUGUUUAUGGUCCUUGUACAUCUGACAGGAAAAGAGCUUUUACUCA